CACGUUUAGUUUGAACUUUCCAGCUCCAGUCCCAGCAAAUACACACUCACGCACACACACGCGCGCGCAAGGAGAACCUCUCAGAGGCGAGCCAACAGGCACCGGGGGCUCUCUGGCCGCGUCUUUCUCUCUCCCUCGCUCUUAUUGGCGCGGAGGUGCAGUCCAGCCCCGGUUCGGCCCCGAGCGCCGCGGCUGGGCGGACUUCACCCUUAUAGGAAAUGAAGUGGGUGUCUCCAGACCACAGUCUCCGGGCGCAGCUGGGAAGCCUACGGUACGCUCCAAACCCACCAACAAGCUCCGGAGCGCCAAGGUCUUUGAUGCUACCCUUCGCCCCAAAAGGAGCUCUCAAACGUCAGUUGACAGCUGAGGCCACUGUCUUUCAGUGACAGUCUACCUGGGUCCCAAACCUGCGGGCGAGAUGACCUUAAAACCUGCCGCCCUCCCCCACCGCAUUCAACCUGAAAGCUCGGCUGGCAGAAGAGCCCAGUUCUGAUUCAAUGAAAUCGUUCUUCCACUUGCAUCUUCCCGACCCUACUUCGGAGCAGUUUCUCCAAACCCCUUCCAGGCUUCCCAUUAGGGAAUACAAUCGUCCAUUGAUACCCCCUCUCCUCACCCUCCCUCCAUACUCUGGCCCCCAAGAUGCUUCAAGUCUCCAGUGUUCAGAGGUACCAGUGUUCACUGGCAGCCACAGUCCACACUUUGAUGGCCACAUUCACCAUCACUGGGAAAUACACAUCUGGUGCU
rnacentral:lncRNA from 1 species